UCUACUUGGUAAUCUGUUCCUGGCAAUUUUUUUUUUUUUUUUGGCUUCCUUCAUUCUCUUGGCCAGAAGUUUAGCCUAUUCUGUAGCCUCUUCCUUAUUUUCUUAGUAUGCUGUUUCCUCAAAGCAACAUAUUGUUGUUUGUUGUUGGAGGACAUGGGACAUGACAAGAUGCCGAGUCUUGGCUGCUUUGGUUCUAGGUUACUCACCUUUUUUAUUUAGGAGCUUUCUCACAACAUACUAGUAGGCAUCAUCUUCUUUAGAGAGACUGAAGAGUUUGUGGAUUCUCCUAGCUCUUUUGGACUCCCCGUGAGAAGGCGUAGUAGUAUCAGUAAGCCCAGGAAGGUCCUUCUCCCCUUUUUCACAAUGACCAAGUUGAGAGCACUGAGACUGGCAUCCACAAGGCAACCCUGAACAGCUCUGCACUUUCUUUCUCCGGUCCUCCCUGGUCUGUAGCAGGAACACCCCUCACUCAGCAGCAGGUGGACACGACUGUGGGUCAGGACCUCCUGCUUCAUGGGGAAUCCUUGUCUGUCAUCAGCACCACUGAUUUGGACCACGUAACCCUUCUAUUCUUCACUCAGAGGAGCAUCAGCAGCGUCUGUGGCCAUACACUUCUCAUAAAAGAUACAACUCUAAUGUCUCCUUAUAAUAGCAGCGAUGAGGUGGGGCACCUACAUGGCCAUUCUGUGGACCAGGAAGAGCCAUCAUCACUACAUCUGCCACUAUCCACAUCCUUCACCUUGAAGGAUGCCUCAUCUUGA
rnacentral:lncRNA from 1 species